rnacentral:rRNA from 1 species
GGGUAUAGUUUCUUCGGGAACUAGAGACCGGCGCACGGGUGCGUAACGCGUAUGCAAUCUACCUUUUACAGAGGGAUAGCCCAGAGAAAUUUGGAUUAAUACCUCAUAGUAUAUAGCCCUGGCAUCAGGAUUAUAUUAAAGUCACAACGGUAAAAGAUGAGCAUGCGUCCCAUUAGCUAGUUGGUAAGGUAACGGCUUACCAAGGCUACGAUGGGUAGGGGUCCUGAGAGGGAGAUCCCCCACACUGGUACUGAGACACGGACCAGACUCCUACGGGAGGCAGCAGUGAGGAAUAUUGGACAAUGGGCGCAAGCCUGAUCCAGCCAUGCCGCGUGCAGGAUGACGGUCCUAUGGAUUGUAAACUGCUUUUAUACGAGAAGAAACACUCCUUCGUGAAGGAGCUUGACGGUAUCGUAAGAAUAAGGAUCGGCUAACUCCGUGCCAGCAGCCGCGGUAAUACGGAGGAUCCAAGCGUUAUCCGGAAUCAUUGGGUUUAAAGGGUCCGUAGGCGGUUUAAUAAGUCAGUGGUGAAAGCCCAUCGCUCAACGGUGGAACGGCCAUUGAUACUGUUAGACUUGAAUUAUUAGGAAGUAACUAGAAUAUGUAGUGUAGCGGUGAAAUGCUUAGAGAUUACAUGGAAUACCAAUUGCGAAGGCAGGUUACUACUAAUUGAUUGACGCUGAUGGACGAAAGCGUGGGUAGCGAACAGGAUUAGAUACCCUGGUAGUCCACGCCGUAAACGAUGGAUACUAGCUGUUGGAAGCAAUUUCAGUGGCUAAGCGAAAGUGAUAAGUAUCCCACCUGGGGAGUACGUUCGCAAGAAUGAAACUCAAAGGAAUUGACGGGGGCCCGCACAAGCGGUGGAGCAUGUGGUUUAAUUCGAUGAUACGCGAGGAACCUUACCAAGGCUUAAAUGUAGAUUGACCGGGUUGGAAACAGAUCUUUCGCAAGACAAUUUACAAGGUGCUGCAUGGUUGUCGUCAGCUCGUGCCGUGAGGUGUCAGGUUAAGUCCUAUAACGAGCGCAACCCCUGUUGUUAGUUGCCAGCGAGUCAAGUCGGGAACUCUAACAAGACUGCCAGUGCAAACUGUGAGGAAGGUGGGGAUGACGUCAAAUCAUCACGGCCCUUACGCCUUGGGCUACACACGUGCUACAAUGGCCGGUACAGAGAGCAGCCACUGGGCGACCAGGAGCGAAUCUAUAAAACCGGUCACAGUUCGGAUCGGAGUCUGCAACUCGACUCCGUGAAGCCGGAAUCGUCUUAGUAAUG